CCAACUAGUGAAUACUCUGGGAAAACAACUUUAGAAUAAGUGCUUAGAAGGUGGGUUAAGAAUACUUCACUGAAAUGAUGCAGAAGAUGCCAGAUCCACAAACGAGCCCUGCAAACAACUCUCAGUUGCUGUGGAUACCCAUCCUCUCCCUGCACUUUUUUUUUUGUUUAGGGGGAGGUGCCACCAAACUCAUUCUGGUCCCAAAUUGUUUUGUGAAACAAGUGAAACUUCUAGAGGAUUGAAGGAGACUGAAGGAGACCUGGUUUCCAGUGGGUGCUCUCCUCACUGCUGCUGCAGUCUAUGCAACAGGUAGGUUGGAGUGACGCCUAGCUCAUCUCUUUGUUGUUGAACCUAAGUCCAAGGACAAUGAGAUGUGGGAGGGGAGUGUCCUGGACGGGACAGGACAGUGGAGACACACUGCCUGGUUCACACCUAAUAUCUUCAUCAGCAUCAACAGCUUCUUCACCCCUUUCUCCAACAUUCACUAAAAGCACAGGGCUUUACAGGAUCAUCUUGAAGUUGAGGGCUUUGACCCAUCAGGACAGCAACCCAAACAAAGAGGAACAUCUUUGGACACUCAACUAGUCAACUCCUGCUCACCUACUUGCUGGGCUUCAUGAAUCUACUAUGAAGUUUACCUAAGUCCUGGUGGUUGAAGGUGAAGCUAAUUCAGGACAAAAGUUUACUAAGAGAAAUUGCAGUGGAUCUUGUAGUGUGCUUCUGACUAGACAAGGGAGGAGGGCGAGGGUGGGAGCUACAAACCUGCUGCAGAGCUCCAGUUCUUUGUUUGCUCCGAGAACUUGAACAAAAGGAAAAGUCUGAAGAACUCUUUAUCUGCAUCUCUAUCUGGAAUCAGCCCUUUUCCUUCAAGCCCUUCUGUGGUUGUCUUCUUCAAAAACUUCUCUAGCAUGAGGGACCUCAAUAUCAUUGUUACCUGCAAGUCACAAAGGGGCUUGACUCCAGAAGUUUCUUGUUUGAGAGAGCUUCUCAUGGAUCUGUUAAAGAUGCAAGAGGCAAAUGGUGAAUUUGGUUUCCAAAUACGUUACCUUUAAGCGCUCGUUAUAAAAUAUGAAGAUCUGGGUUCUGAGCCCAGGAUUUUUUUAAAUCGUGCUUUGGAUUGAACUGGUUCUGCACAGUUGGAUUAUACAGCGUUUUGGCUUUGGGAUCUGCCGAACACUUCCACUUGGAUUAAAGAAUAAGCUUCACCCUAGUGACAAUGUGACAUUACUAAGGUGAUUCAGUUUUUCCAGUUUGGCUGGUUAAGGGGUUGGUGACAUCAUGACUUCUCACGAAAGGCAAGAAGAUGCUUAAAGACUUCUGCAUAUAGAAACUCUGGCUUGGCUGCAAUGAAAAAAGAGGGGGGCACUCUUCCAAAUCACCAGAGCUAGUGGAGAACAAGAUGUUUCACACUGUUAUCCUUGGAGGAGAAAUCUACUGAACUACAGGUCUGACACUGGUGUAACAGUUUAUCAAGAACAAACUCUGAGGCUGAAAAUUCACUGACACAAUUGGAUCUUCCACCUUUAUUAUCGGGGCAAUUGUCAACCUUUGGACAUAAACCAGAAUGUUUUCAUCCACUCAUGGUACUCAUGAGCCAGCUUGGAUUCCAACCUAUCAGAUGAAUAUGCUUCCCACACGAGAUCUGCAGACUGCACCACUUGGCAUCUGUUACCAGACUCUUAAAAACCUGUGUGUGGGAGAAACAGUUGUCACAAUAGGAACAAUUAAGUCUAAUGCGAAUCUAUGGAAGAAUGUUUAUUAACCACACAGAAGAGGCUGAAAAUCAGAAGAACAACCUAUAGAAUUGUGAAGGCGUUUUGUGAGCCUUGAAAAAAUAAAAUGCUGCUAUCCAAUGUAUACAGUGUCUAUCCGAUAUUACAAUCAAGUUUAUUUGUAUAUGUUGUAAUAUAUAAAUGCACAUUACAGCUUACGAUUGUUUUCAUUUAGUCAUAAGUCAAUGUAUUAUUUGAAUUUCUAUUAAGCAGUAUUAUGCAAAGGAAUGGAUGGGCACAAGCAGCCAAGCUCCCUCUCCCCAAGCAAGAAUACAGUCCUUUUGGUUUACAGUAAUUCAUCAUUGAUUAACCACUUAUGUCUCUCUAAGGGUCAAUCAGUAAUUGUGAGACAUAGAUCUCUACAGCUCGGUCCCUUACAUACAAUAGUGGGAAGCCGCUAUAAAGUUCCAGGAAAACAGAAGCAUGGUUUGUCUAAAUGCUCCAGAUUUAAGUUAUUGUUUAUGUAUCAAUGAGCAUUUUUCUUGUGAAGUUUAAUAAAUUAUGUAUGUUUUUUGUAUAUAAAGGACAUAAACUGCAUUCAUGUGUAAGUUAAAUGCUUUACAAUGGCCCUUUGAGGCAUAGAAUGGACUUUAUCCUUCUUCUAUCAAUGUCCUGGUAAAAUUACUUUGACAUCUUUGUGUAGUCAGGUGGAUAAAAAAAACAGGACUGAAACUUAAAAAGGAUUUAGUGAAAGUGUAACCGUAUCAUAAUCUUUCAAAGAGAAUAUGUCGGGUAUCAUUUUUGUUUUAGCAAAUAUUUCUAUUACCCCUGAAAUAAUGCUGGAACAUUUUUUUCUUAGAACUCAAUAUUUUGCCAUUCCUCUGUUAAUUCUCUAGGACAGUAAUGUUCUACAUACAAUGCUUAGGAAACAAUGGCUACAAACUUAUGGCAUCUAGGGAUAAUUUGGAUCUGGUUGCAGUAAAUGAGACAUGGUUCAAUGAUUGUAAUGACUGGGAAAUCGCCAUACCUAGUUACACACUGUACAGGAAAGACAGAGAAGACAGAAGAAGUGGUGGAGUAGCCGAUUAUGUCAAGGGUAUUCUUAAUUCAGGAGACAAACAAAGUGGUGGAAAUGCUUUGGAUUUGCAUGAAAACAAAAUAGGGAACUGUGGCCUCCAGGGCAAAGUGAGAAUUAUCACAACAAGUUGGUGGAGGAAAUUUCUCAAAUAGCUGAAAAGGGAAAUAUUGCAGUUAUGGGUGACUUCAACACACCUGGUGUAGGCUGGAAUAUCUCUUGUGCUCUUUCAUGCAAGAGCAGGAGUAUAAUUGAAGCUCAUCAAGAGAAUGCCAAGAGUGUGCAAAGCAGUAAUCAAAGCAAAAGGUGGCUACUUUGAAGAACCUAGAAUAUGACAUAUUUUCAG